GGUAGCGUGGCCGAGUGGUCUAAGCGCUGGUUUUAGGCACCAUCUUCGAGCGUGGUUGAAUCCCCCGCUGCCA